CCUACGGGUGGCAGCAGUAGGGAAUUUUUCACAAUGGGCGAAAGCCUGAUGGAGCAAUGCCGCGUGAAUGAUGAAGGUCUUAUAGAUUGUAAAAUUCUUUUAUUUGGGAAGAAAAACUAAAGCAGGAAAUGACUUUAGUCUGACUGUACCAUUUGAAUCAGUAUAGGCUAACUAUGUGUCAGCAGUCGCGGGAAUACAUAGGAUGUAAGCGUUAUCUGGUUUUACUGGGCGUAAAACGGGCGAAGGCGGGUUAACAAGUUUGGUAUGAAAGGCUUUUGCUUAACGAGAGUUUGUAUCAAAAACUGUUAAUCUAGAGUGUAGUAGAGGGUUCUGGAAUGCCAGGUGUAGCGGUGGAAUGCGUAGAUAUAUGGAAGAACACCGGUGGCGAAGGCGAGAACUUAGGCUAUCACUGACGCUUAGGCUCGAAAGUGUGGGGAGCAAAUAGGAUUAGAUACCCCAGUAGUC
rnacentral:rRNA from 1 species